UUCCUUCCAGUCAACAAGGAUGUACCUCGUUGAUUGGAAGGAAACCCUUCUGAUCAACAAGGAUGUACCUCGUUGAUCGGAAGGGAACCCUUCCGAUCAAAGAGGUAGAUGUACCUCUCUGAUUGGAAGGGUUUCCUUCCAAUCAACAAGGUACAUCCUCGUUGACCAAAAGGAA
rnacentral:miRNA from 1 species